rnacentral:hammerhead_ribozyme from 1 species
AUUCAGCCGAGUCCCAAAUGGGACGAAAUGCGCAUCCUGUAU